UACGUAGGGUGCGAGCGUUGUCCGGAAUUAUUGGGCGUAAAGGGCUCGUAGGCGGUUUGUCGCGUCGGGAGUGAAAACACCGGGCUUAACUCGGUGCUUGCUUUCGAUACGGGCAGACUAGAGGCAUGCAGGGGAGAACGGAAUUCCUGGUGUAGCGGUGAAAUGCGCAGAUAUCAGGAGGAACACCGGUGGCGAAGGCGGUUCUCUGGGACGGUACUGACGCUGAGACGCGAAAGCGUGGGGAGCAAACAGG
rnacentral:rRNA from 1 species